rnacentral:rRNA from 1 species
AGUGAACGCUGGCGGUAGGCCUAACACAUGCAAGUCGAACGGCAGCACAGUAAGAGCUUGCUCUUACGGGUGGCGAGUGGCGGACGGGUGAGGAAUACAUCGGAAUCUACUUUUUCGUGGGGGAUAACGUAGGGAAACUUACGCUAAUACCGCAUACGACCUACGGGUGAAAGCAGGGGAUCUUCGGACCUUGCGCGAUUGAAUGAGCCGAUGUCGGAUUAGCUGGUUGGCGGGGUAAAGGCCCACCAAGGCGACGAUCCGUAGCUGGUCUGAGAGGAUGAUCAGCCACACUGGAACUGAGACACGGUCCAGACUCCUACGGGAGGCAGCAGUGGGGAAUAUUGGACAAUGGGCGCAAGCCUGAUCCAGCCAUACCGCGUGGGUGAAGAAGGCCUUCGGGUUGUAAAGCCCUUUUGUUGGGAAAGAAAAGCAGCAGGUUAAUACCCCGCUGUUCCGACGGUACCCAAAGAAUAAGCACCGGCUAACUUCGUG